UGGGGAAUAUUGCGCAAUGGGGGCAACCCUGACGCAGCCAUGCCGCGUGUGUGAAGAAGGCCUUCGGGUUGUAAAGCACUUUCAAUAGAGAGAAAAAGCUGUCGGUUAAUACCCGGCAGUGUUGAUGUUACCUAUAGAAGAAGCACCGGCUAACUCCGUGCCAGCAGCCGCGGUAAUACGGAGGGUGCGAGCGUUAAUCGGAAUUACUGGGCGUAAAGCGCGCGUAGGCGGUUUGUUAAGUCGGAUGUGAAAUCCCCGGGCUCAACCUGGGAACUGCAUUCGAUACUGGCAGGCUAGAGUACGGGAGAGGGAGGUAGAAUUCCACGUGUAGCGGUGAAAUGCGUAGAUAUGUGGAGGAAUACCGGUGGCGAAGGCGGCCUCCUGGCCUGAUACUGACGCUGAGGUGCGAAAGCGUGGGGAGCAAACAGGAUUAGAUACCCCCGUAGUCC
rnacentral:rRNA from 1 species